rnacentral:rRNA from 1 species
GCCAGACUCCUACGGGAGGCAGCAGUGGGGAAUAUUGGGCAAUGGGCGCAAGCCUGACCCAGCAACGCCGCGUGAAGGAAGAAGGCCCUCGGGUUGUAAACUUCUUUUAUCAGGGACGAAACAAAUGACGGUACCUGAUGAAUAAGCCACGGCUAACUACGUGCCAGCAGCCGCGGUAAUACGUAGGUGGCAAGCGUUAUCCGGAUUUACUGGGUGUAAAGGGCGUGUAGGCGGGUCUGCAAGUCAGAUGUGAAAUCUCAUGGCUCAACCAUGGAACUGCAUUUGAAACUGUAGAUCUUGAGUACUGGAGAGGCAGACGGAAUUCCUAGUGUAGCGGUGAAAUGCGUAGAUAUUAGGAGGAACACCAGUGGCGAAGGCGGUCUGCUGGACAGCAACUGACGGUGAGGCGCGAAAGCGUGGGGAGCAAACAGGAUUAGAUACCCCCGUA